rnacentral:lncRNA from 1 species
UGUAUAUGAAUACAUUACAACUUUUCCUGAAUCCACAUUUCUGUUGUUUUCUUCCUUAGGGAACCAGGAGAUAGGAUCACAUCUUCAAACCGUACUACAGAGGAAGCAGUUUGUUUGAUCACUUUGACCAACUGUUAACAUCCAACCACUCCAUCUUCUCAAACAUGCACCAGCCAAUCCUUGGAGGAUGAAGUAAAAGACAAAGUGAUUUGUUCAAGUUGUAAAGGAGAUUCAUUGAAAAACCAACAGGGGUCCACACAACUUCCGGGGAAAAUGAAAGAAGCUAUCAGACAGGCAACUGUAGAGGAAACAAAUUGGCGUGCAAUUCAAGAUAUGUGCAUGAUACAUAAAGAAGACUUAAGUCUUUUCUGUUUGGAGGAUCAAAUUCCCCUUUGUUCACUCUGCAGAAAAUCCUGGGAUCAUGCGGGGCACACUGUCAUUUCCAGGGAUCAACCAGAAAACCAGGCUACUGGAAAUGUCUUGAAUGGGGGGAAAGAGAGUUUUCCAAAAUCCCAACCAACCAUUGUAGAAUUUUCAACCAUAAACCCAGCAGACUUCAUAGAAAAAGGAGGAGCAACUGAUGGGAAUGAAGAUGACCACAAGGGUAUGCAUGCAGCUAUUGAGCAGUGUGUGGACUUCAUCUCGGAAGAAAAGAAGGAAGCAGGUAUAAGGCACUUGACAUUAUGGGAUAUUCCUCUGAAUUGCAGGGAGACAAUUUCUCUGUUUGGAUC